rnacentral:sRNA from 1 species
CGUUUUACCACGCAUCAGAAUGCUUCUAGAUACCGCCAGCAAUGGGAAUUUCCAGAAUAAAGAUGUUGAAGAAGGCUGGGAAUUGGUUGAGAACAUUGCUC